rnacentral:rRNA from 1 species
GAUGAACGCUGGCGGCGUGCCUAAUACAUGCAAGUCGAGCGAACAGAUGAGGAGCUUGCUCCUCUGACGUUAGCGGCGGACGGGUGAGUAACACGUGGAUAACCUACCUAUAAGACUGGGAUAACUUCGGGAAACCGGAGCUAAUACCGGAUAAUAUAUUGAACCGCAUGGUUCAAUAGUGAAAGACGGUUUUGCUGUCACUUAUAGAUGGAUCCGCGCCGCAUUAGCUAGUUGGUAAGGUAACGGCUUACCAAGGCAACGAUGCGUAGCCGACCUGAGAGGGUGAUCGGCCACACUGGAACUGAGACACGGUCCAGACUCCUACGGGAGGCAGCAGUAGGGAAUCUUCCGCAAAGGGCGAAAGCCUGACGGAGCAACGCCGCGCGAGUGAUGAAGGUCUUCGGAUCGUAAAACUCUGUUAUUAGGGAAGAACAAAUGUGUAAGUAACUAUGCACGUCUUGACGGUACCUAAUCAGAAAGCCACGGCUAACUACGUG